CUUAGAAAUUGAUGCCGUGAACAAGU
rnacentral:piRNA from 1 species